AUUGAACGCUGGCGGAAUGCUUUACACAUGCAAGUCGAGCGGCAGCGCGGGGGCAACCCUGGCGGCGAGCGGCGAACGGGUGAGUAACAUAUCGGAACGUACCCAGUCGUGGGGGAUAACUAUCCGAAAGGAUAGCUAAUACCGCAUACGUCCUGAGGGAGGAAGCGGGGGAUCGCAAGACCUCGCGCGAUUGGAGCGGCCGAUAUCGGAUUAGCUAGUUGGUGGGGUAAAGGCUCACCAAGGCGACGAUCCGUAGCGGGUCUGAGAGGAUGAUCAGCCACACCGGAACUGAGACACGGUCCGGACUCCUACGGGAGGCAGCAGUGGGGAAUAUUGCGCAAUGGGCGAAAGCCUGACGCAGCCAUACCGCGUGUGUGAAGAAGGCCUCGGUUGUAAG
rnacentral:rRNA from 1 species